UCGAGGGCUCGGCGCGGGCUGC
rnacentral:antisense_RNA from 1 species